GAUGAACGCUGGCGGCGUGCCUAAUACAUGCAAGUCGAGCGAACGGACGAGAAGCUUGCUUCUCUGAUGUUAGCGGCGGACGGGUGAGUAACACGUGGAUAACCUACCUAUAAGACUGGGAUAACUUCGGGAAACCGGAGCUAAUACCGGAUAAUAUUUUGAACCGCAUGGUUGAAAAGUGAAAGACGGUCUUUCUGUCACUUAUAGAUGGAUCCGCGCUGCAUUAGCUAGUUGGUAAGGUAACGGCUUACCAAGGCAACGAUGCCUAGCCGACCUGAGAGGGUGAUCGGCCACACUGGAACUGAGACACGGUCCAGACUCCUACGGGAGGCAGCAGUAGGGAAUCUUCCGCAAUGGGCGAAAGCCUGACGGAGCAACGCCGCGUGAGUGAUGAAGGUCUUCGGAUCGUAAAACUCUGUUAUUAGGGAAGAACAUAUGUGUAAGUAACUGUGCACAUCUUGACGGUACCUAAUCAGAAAGCCACGGCUAACUACGUG
rnacentral:rRNA from 1 species